AAAUGAGCAUCGACAGUGAGCAAAACCGUGUGGUCAAAUGGUUCGUAAAUAUGAUUCGGAUCAAAUUCUUGUGUGAUGGCGGAUGUAAUUUCGAAACUAAGUGAAACAGCUUUGGAAAAGGCUGGAAACAACGAAAAAAGACAAAAUAUUUACAACAAAGAUACCGUGAAGUGUACGAAAACGGCUUUAGUUAGAUUGCUCUGCGGCCAAGUGAGGUCUACGUGUGACAUCAAUCAAUUGGUAGUUUUUUAUUGAUUUUAUUGUUCAAGUAUAUUACUGGUGGUGGAUGAGCUUGAAUUUUAAUUAAUUUUUAGCAACGGUGUGACCAACAACAACGUUAGGCUUUUCCAAAACGAAUUUUAUUUGCAAAAUAGGCAAUGUGCGUGAGUGUGUGUGUGUGUGUGUGAAUGUUAUUUUAAAAUGCGUACAAUAUUGCUCGAUUCCAUGCGAAACGAAGAAUGGGCCAAAUGGGGAUAAUAUAAUUAAUUUGGUGCUCUCUUGGUGACCUUGUUACUCUA